rnacentral:tRNA from 1 species
GGAGAGGUCGCAUAGUUCGGCUUAGUGCACCAUCUUGGAAAGGUGGCGUGGGGCAACCCACCGGGGGUUCGAAUCCCCCCCUCUCCGCCA